GACAGAGGGGGCAAGCGUUGCUCGGAAUUACUGGGCGUAAAGGGCGCGUAGGCGGGAUGGCAAGUCGGUCGUGAAAUCCCUCGGCUCAACUGAGGAUCGUCGAUCGAUACUGCCGUUCUUGAGGAUUGCAGAGGAGACUGGAAUUCCACGUGUAGCAGUGAAAUGCGUAGAGAUGUGGAGGAACACCGAUGGCGAAGGCAGCCCCCUGGGCUAACACUGACGCUCAUGCACGAAAGCGUGGGGAGCAAACAGG
rnacentral:rRNA from 1 species